UGAGGGAUAUUGGUCAAUGGGCGCAAGCCUGAACCAGCCAUGCCGCGUGCAGGAUGAAGCAUCUAUGGUGUGUAAACUGCUUUUGUACGGGAAGAAACCACCCCUCGUGAGGGGUAUUGACGGUACCGUAAGAAUAAGGAUCGGCUAACUCCGUGCCAGCAGCCGCGGUAAUACGGAGGAUCCAAGCGUUAUCCGGAAUCAUGGGUCUAAAGGGUCCGUAGGCGGGUCUGUAAGUCAGUGGUGAAAUCUCCCCGCUCAACGGGGAAACUGCCAUUGAUACUGCAGGUCUUGAAUUAUUGGGAAGUAACUAGAAUAUGUAGUGUAGCGGUGAAAUGCUUAGAGAUUACAUGGAAUACCAAUUGCGAAGGCAGGUUACUACCAAUGGAUUGACGCUGAUGGACGAAAGCGUGGGUAGCGAACA
rnacentral:rRNA from 1 species